GAUGAACGCUGGCGGCGUGCCUAAUACAUGCAAGUCGAGCGAACAGAUGAGGAGCUUGCUCCUCUGACGUUAGCGGCGGACGGGUGAGUAACACGUGGAUAACCUACCUAUAAGACUGGGAUAACUUCGGGAAACCGGAGCUAAUACCGGAUAAUAUAUUGAACCGCAUGGUUCAAUAGUGAAAGACGGUUUUGCUGUCACUUAUAGAUGGAUCCGCGCCGCAUUAGCUAGUUGGUAAGGUAACGGCUUACCAAGGCAACGAUGCGUAGCCGACCUGAGAGGGUGAUCGGCCACACUGGAACUGAGACACGGUCCAGACUCCUACGGGAGGCAGCAGUAGGGAAUCUUCCGCGAUGGGCGAAAGCCUGACGGAGCAACGCCGCGUGAGUGAUGAAGGUCUUCGGAUCGUAAAACUCUGUUAUUAGGGGAGAACAAAUGUGUAAGUAACUAUGCACGUCUUGACGGUACCUAAUCAGAAAGCCACGGCUAACUACGUG
rnacentral:rRNA from 1 species